rnacentral:tRNA from 1 species
GGGCCCUUGGCUCAGCCAGGUUAGUGCGCAAGCGACCUGAAAGCGGCUGGCUCUUAACCAGCAUGCCGUGGGUUCGAAUCCCACAGGGCCCG